rnacentral:rRNA from 1 species
GAUGAACGCUGGCGGCGUGCCUAAUACAUGCAAGUCGAGCGAACGGACGAGAAGCUUGCUUCUCUGAUGUUAGCGGCGGACGGGUGAGUAACACGUGGAUAACCUACCUAUAAGACUGGGAUAACUUCGGGAAACCGGAGCUAAUACCGGAUAAUAUUUUGAACCGCAUGGUUCAAAAGUGAAAGACGGUCUUGCUGUCACUUAUAGAUGGAUCCGCGCUGCAUUAGCUAGUUGGUAAGGUAACGGCUUACCAAGGCAACGAUGCAUAGCCGACCUGAGAGGGUGAUCGGCCACACUGGAGCUGAGACACGGACCAGACUCCUACGGGAGGCAGCAGUAGGGAAUCUUCCGCAAUAGGCGAAAGCCUGACGGAGCAACGCCGCGUGAGUGAUGAAGGUCUUCGGAUCGUAAAGCUCUGUUAUUAGGGAAGAACAUAUGUGUAAGUAACUGUGCACAUCUUGACGGUACCUAAUCAGAAAGCCACGGCUAACUACGUG